AGUGAACGCUGGCGGUAGGCCUAACACAUGCAAGUCGAACGGCAACACAGUAAGAGCUUGCUCUUACGGGUGGCGAGUGGCGGACGAGUGAGGAAUACAUCGGAAGCUACUUUUUCGUGGGGGAGAACGUAGGGAAACUUACGCUAAUACCGCAUACGACCUACGGGUGAAAGCAGGGGAUCUUCGGACCUUGCGCGAUUGAAUGAGCCGAUGUCGGAUUAGCUAGUUGGCGGGGUAAAGGCACACCAAGGCGACGAUCCGGAGCUGGUCUGAGAGGAUGAGCGGCGACAGUGGAACUGAGACAGGGUCCAGACUCCUACGGGAGGCAGCAGUGGGGAAUAUUGGACAAGGGGCGCAAGCGUGAUCCAGCCAUACCGCGUGGGUGAAGAAGGCGUUCGGGUUGUAAAGGCCUUUUGUUGGGAAAGAAAAGCAGCAGGUCAAUACCCCGCUGUUGUGACGGUAGCGAAAGAAUAAGCACCGGCUAACUUCGUG
rnacentral:rRNA from 1 species